AUUGAACGCUGGCGGCAGGCCUAACACAUGCAAGUCGAGCGGCGCGGCAGACGGGUAAGUAAUGCCUAGGUAUCUGCCUCGUAGUGGGGGAUAACGUCCGGUAACGGGCGCUAAUACCACAUACUCUCAGCUUCGCCUGGGUCGGAUUAGCUUGUUGUGGGGGUAAAGGCCUACCAAGGCGACGAUCCUUAACUGGUCUGAGAGGAUGAUCAGUCACACUGGAACUGAGACACGGUCCAGACUCCUACGGGAGGCAGCAGUGGGGAAUAUUGGACAAUGGGCGCAAGCCUGAUCCAGCCAUGCCGCGUGUGUGAAGAAGGUCUUCGGAUUGUAAAGCACUUUAAGUUGGGAGGCGUUACCAACAGAAGAAGCACCGGCUAACUUCGUGCCAGCAGCCGCGGUAAUUC
rnacentral:rRNA from 1 species